AUGAAAAUGCAUAUUCUCGGACAUAACCCCGCCGUUUGGGCUAUUAUUUGUAUUGGCUUGCAAGGUGAAUUCUUUGAUGGGAGAGAGCCGAACUGUGAAGCUAAUGCGGAUGAAUUGAAGAUGCUGCAAUACAACACUCAAGCUUGUGAUAUCAUCUUUAACGGAUUGUGCCCCGAAGAAUUCAACAAAAUCAGCCGUCUUAAGAAUGCAAAGGAAAUUUGGGAUACUUUGAUUGAUAUGCAUGAAGGUACUGACUCUGUCAAGGAAUCCAAGCUGGAUGUGCUCCAAAGUCAGCUUGACAAGUUGAAGAUGAAGGAUGGUUAA
rnacentral:rRNA from 1 species